UGAAUCUUUCAAAUCAUUGAGCACUCAAACAUUGAUUUGAGUGUAAUGAAUCUAUUAUUAUUUGAAUAGGAAGAUCUGAUGC